rnacentral:lncRNA from 1 species
CUUCUGCUCAGGAAAAAUCACGCUGCACACUAGUGUGUUCAAGAUCCAGAAGUUCCCCACCUGUAACCCCUUGUUUUCCCACAUUACCUUUCCUUCAUAUCCCACAGAUCUAAUGACUCCAUUAGCUGGCGGUGCUGCACUGCAAGUUAGGAAAGCCCUGCUGUAUCUGUAGGCCCCAGGCCUCCUGUAAUUGGAACCCAGCCGUGUGCGGAUCUGUCUGGCUGUCCCAGCCCCCUCCCUGCCCCACCUCCCGGCUUCCUCAGCUCUUCGGUCCUCACAUGCCAGGUCUCGGGUCCCCUCAGCCCUUGGCCACUCUUAGGAAGAGUUCCACUUUUCCUGUGUCCCACAUUCCCUGCUGGAAUCUGGUGGGGCUGCUAUAGGCAGGGCUGUCCUUUUCUCUGGAUGCCACCCAGGAUUCAUGGUCCCUGUUUUUUUUUUUUUUUUUUCACCAGCAGUGUCCUUACAUAACAAGCACAGAGGCCAGGCUAUAAGCAGAUGGUUGUUGGUGAACUCAAAAGGAGCUGUGUUUUCAUACCUCUCUCCCAGUUUAUCUUUGCUUUAAACCAGAACACCUUGCAGCAAGAGAGCCUGAGAGUGGGCAGCCUUCAGAUCCCUUCUACCAUGGAGGAUCUCAUCAAACACUGUAACUGUGGGGACCUCAGCUCUGCCAUCCUCAGCUAUGACAGUGCCCAGGAGCGCAUCACUGCCCAGGAGAUCGACAGCUACUUCCAGCGCGAGCUCAUCUACAAACACAAGAGGAUGGGGCAUCAUACCAAGGUGCUGCUGGAGCAGUUCUCGGACAAGGGCUUCUUCUUUGCCUUUGGAGCUGGUGAGUGUAACUCAGAUUAGACUCUGGGAUCUGCUGCUUUUACUGUCACUGUCCAGGGACGAGGAG